rnacentral:rRNA from 1 species
UACGGAGGGUGCGAGCGUUGUUCGGAAUCACUGGGCGUAAAGCGCGUGUAGGCGGUUCGUUAAGUCUGGUGUGAAAGCCCGGGGCUCACCCCCGGAAGAGCACUGGAAACUGACGAGCUCGAGUCCCGGAGAGGAGAGUGGAAUUCCUGGUGUAGCGGUGAAAUGCGUAGAUAUCAGGAGGAACACCGGUGGCGAAGGCGGCUCUCUGGACGGUGACUGACGCUGAGACGCGAAAGCGUGGGGAGCAAACAGG